rnacentral:rRNA from 1 species
AAACGAUGUCGACUAGCCGUUGGGAUCCUUGAGAUCUUAGUGGCGCAGCUAACGCGAUAAGUCGACCGCCUGGGGAGUACGGCCGCAAGGUUAAAACUCAAAUGAAUUGACGGGGGCCCGCACAAGCGGUGGAGCAUGUGGUUUAAUUCGAAGCAACGCGAAGAACCUUACCUGGCCUUGA